CUGGGAUUGCCUUAGUAACGGCGAGUGAAGCGGCAAUAGCUCAAAUUUGAAAGCUGGCGCCUUCGGCGUCCGCGUUGUAAUUUGUAGAGGAUGCUUCGGCGAGGACUCCUGCCUAAGUUCCCUGGAAUGGGACGUCACAGAGGGUGAGAAUCCCGUAUGUGGCGGGCGGUCCAAGCCAUGUGAAGCUCCUUCGACGAGUCGAGUUGUUUGGGAAUGCAGCUCUAAAUGGGAGGUAAAUUUCUUCUAAAGCUAAAUACCGGCCAGAGACCGAUAGCGCACAAGUAGAGUGAUCGAAAGAUGAAAAGCACUUUGGAAAGAGAGUUAAAAAGUACGUGAAAUUGUUGAAAGGGAAGCGCUUGCAACCAGACUCGCUCGCAGUUGCUCAGCCCGCCUCCUGGCGGGUGUACUCUUCUGCGAUCGGGCCAGCAUCAGUUCGGGCGGCCGGAUAAAGGUGUCGGGAAUGUAGCACCCUUCGGGGUGUGUUAUAGCCCGGCGCGGAAUGCGGCCAGCCUGGACUGAGGAUCUCGCUUCGGCAAGGAUGCUGGCGUAAUGGUUGUAAGCGGCCCGUCUUGAAACACGGACCAAGGAGUCUAACAUCUAUGCGAGUGUUUGGGUGUCAAACCCAUGCGCGUAAUGAAAGUGAACGGAGGUGGGAACCCGCAAGGGUGCACCAUCGACCGAUCCUGAUGUCUUCGGAUGGAUUUGAGUAAGAGCAUAGCUGUUGGGACCCGAAAGAUGGGUGAACUAUGCCUGAAUAGGGUGAAGCCAGAGGAAACUCUGGUGGAGGCUCGCAGCGGUUCUGACGUGCAAAUCGAUCGUCAAAUUUGGGUAUAGGGGCGAAAGACUAAUCGAACCAUCUAGUAGCUGGUCUGCA
rnacentral:rRNA from 1 species